GCGCCGCGGGAGGAAGCGCAGCGGGCGCCGAGCGGCGGAGCCGGCGGGAAGGCCCCUCGCUCCUACGCCUGGCGCGAGCGGGCGGCGGCGGUGCCGCCGCGGCCCCAGGCCUGUCCCGAGACCCGGCGCGGCCAGUUCCUGGGACGGGACCCCUGCGGGGAGGAGGACGGGAGGAGGCCCCGCGGCGAGCUCGGAGGCCCAGCGGCCUGGGCCGCGUCACCGCAGCCACAUGGCCUCCGGAGUGGGCGCGGCCUUCGAGGAGCUGCCGCACGACGGCACGUGUGACGAGUGCGAGCCAGACGAGGCCCCCGGGGCCGAGGAAGUGUGCCGAGAGUGCGCCUUCUGCUACUGCCACCGCCACGCCGAGGCGCACAGGCAGAAGUUCCCCAGCCACCACCUGGCCCAGUACGUCCACGGCGCCGCCCCGGCCUGGACCGCGGACGCCCCCGCGCAGGGCGACGCGAAGGCAGAUGCCCAGGCCAAGGUGGAGAAUGAGAGGGAUGUAGAGAGCGAGGUGGGGGAGGAGAGCGAGUCCGAGGAAGACAGUGAAUCCGAAGAAGAGAGCGAGACGGAGGAAGAGAGUGAGGAUGAGAGCGAUGAAGACAGUGAAGACGACAGUGAGGAAGAGAUGGAGGAUGAGCAAGAGAGCGAAGCAGAGGAAGACAACCAAGAAGGAGAAUCUGAGGCCGAGGGAGAAACGGAGGCAGAAAGCGAAUUUGACCCAGAAAUAGAAAUGGAAGCGGAGAGAGUGGCCAAGAGGAAGUGUCCGGACCAUGGGCUCGAUUUGAGCACCUAUUGCCAGGAAGAUAAGCAGCUUAUCUGUGUCCUGUGUCCAGUCAUUGGGACUCACCAGGGCCACCAGCUCUCCACUCUAGAUGAAGCCUUCGAGGAACUAAGAAGCAAAGACUCUGGCGGACUGAAGGCGGCUAUGAUCGAGUUGGUGGAAAGGUUAAAGUUCAAGAGCUCAGAUCCUAAAGUAACCCGGGACCAGAUGAAGGUGUUUAUACAGCAGGAAUUUAAGAAAGUUCAGAAAGUGAUUGCUGAUGAGGAGCAGAAGGCCCUUCAUCUAGUGGACAUCCAGGAAGCAAUGGCUACCGCUCAUGUGACUGAGAUCCUGGCAGACAUCCAGUCCCACAUGGAUAGGUUGAUGACUCAGAUGGCCCAAGCCAAGGAACAACAUGAUACCUCUAAUGAAUCAGCUGAGCCAAAGGCAGAGGGUGACGAGGAAGGACCCAGGGGGUAGAGCAGAAAUCGGCUGAAACCUUGAAAGGAGCAUCCUAAUUAAAAGGGUGAGAGGUGGAUGCCUCUCACCUCAGGACAGACAGGAUUGAAACUGAAACCAGUGUCUGACCCAGAGACAUCCUGCCCUAAGUCCCCGGGAUGGUGUCUUGGUGCCGGGCCCUUUGGCACGACUGUUGGCUGGAGCCCACAAGAACCAAGAUGUGAAGACGUCGGUUUAAAGAGGCCUCCCACCCACGGUCUCAUGCUGAUGUGUGUGGACCGGGGCCUUGAAGCCCUGUCUCCGGUUCUUAGCUGUGUGCUUUUCCCACCGUCCCUACCAUCACAGUGGCUAACCCUGCUCUCCCACUUCUGGACCCGUGCCUCAGCUGGUGUUUCUACAGAGGGAGGGAGGAGAACCACGAAUAAGGCCCCCUUUACUUCCACCUUGGCCUGCUUGACUCUCUCCCUCUGCACACCAUUAGGGGAAGGGAGGAUAGCUAAAGUUGAGAACCCAGACCUGCCUUGAGCACAGCUCACAGCUGGAUUGUGGAGGGCUGGAAGUUGCCAAACAUGCAGCUAUUUUAUAAGGAGGCCAGAUGAGAACAUUUCCUCACGCGGAGGAAUUGGCUCUUCAGAUUUCCUUGCUUGGGGAGGACUGGACUUGAGCUUGCUUCUGCUUUGCCCUCAGUGACACAGCAUUCCUUGGACACACCCAUCCUUUACCAGUAAGGCUUAGUCAUUUGUAAGAGUAACCAUGUCUGAUACAGCAUUCUCAGCCACACCUGGUGCCUCCCCCCACCCCCUUGUGGUUCUGUGUGCCCGGUGAUUGCAGUGACAGAAAAGAGAUAGAGCUUGGGCUCACCUGUAGAAAUCAGCUGUCCAUGAGAUUCCUGGGAAGUAUCUCUGAGACUGGCAAGCUGCCCGCAGUUAACCUGGGAAGGCUUGGAAGGUUUCUAGAACAAUAAUACCUCAAGGAGUUAUUUUGAUAAUUCACUGGGUCGUUCAUUCAAAAAAUAUUUGGUGAGGUUUCCCUGGUGUCAGGCACAUUAUCCGGUACUGGUGAUACAGCAGGGAACAAAAUACUUAAGGACGCUUAGCAUCUCAGAGUAGCUUUAGGUAGUGACAGGUGCUGUGGAGACAAUACAACAGUCUGACGUAAUUGUGCAGGACUGGGGUGGCUGCUCUAGACUGCUUGGUCAGGGGAAGCCUCUGAGAAGGUGACAUUGAAGCUAAGACCUGAAUGUUAAGGAGCCAGUCACUCCAAGCCAUGAGGGGAAGAACUUAGGGAAUCAAAGAGCAAUGCCAAAGCCUUCAUGCAGGAACAGGCAAAGCCAGUGUGGCCAGCAGGUGGCUUGAAACGGGUUAGAGAGGGAGGCAGAGGCCAAAUCGUGCAGGGAUUUGGGAACGAUGGGCUUUCUUCUAAGGCUAUGGGAGGCCAUUAAAGGAGUUUUAAGUGCGGCAGCGCCAUAAUCUGUUGCACAUUGAGAAGUAUUACUCUGAAUGCAGCUUGAAAACUAAGCAGUAGUGAAGUAAGGGUAGAAGUAGGAGGACCAGUCAGAAGGCAAGGGCAGUAGGUCAAGCAAGAGAUGGUGGUGGCCGUGGAGAAGAAGAGGGAACCAGCAUAGGAUGGAUUCUGCAGUGUGAGUCAGCAGAACUUGCUGGUGGACUCGAUGGGAUAAGGAGAGGGUGCUUCUAAUGUUCUGAGCACAACGGUCAGCACAUAUGAUACACUUAAUAGGCUCUAGCUGUUUGCUGCCAUCAUUGACAAAUGGCCAGUUACCAGACACCAAGGGACAGGCCCGGGAAGGAAUCUUGAACUCAUUCAAAUGAUGGCAUGACGCCUACAGCACAUGUGUGAUGUCCAUGUUGGCUCUUCUCUUUGUUAAUAAAUGGCAUUUUUAGAGAAAACGGGACCUGCAAGUUUGACAGUGUAUUCAGGAACCAGAAAUGUUGAUUUCCAGUUCAUCUCACCGCCAUCAACUCACUGUAUGAGCGUCAGCCUCUCUUAGGCUUGAUUUCUUCAUCUAGAACUAUGAAACGUUUUGAGCACUUUCUGUGUGCCAGGUACCAUGCCACGCCAAGCACUCUGUAUAUGCUCAUCUCCGCUUAAUCUUCCCUGCAACUCUUCCAGGAGGGCACUAAAUUGUUCUCCAUUUCCAGGUAGGAACACUGAGCUCGCGAUCCCACAGCUAGUAAAUGGCAAAGCUGUGACUCAAAUCUAGGUGCUUCUUCCCUUAAAUCCACAUUUAUAACCCUCUGUGAUAUAAGAAGCCACAGUGGGUCUUGAGAAUUGGUUUGCUUCCAGUUUUCAACUUCUGGACCUCAAUUCAGGGUCACCGUGGGACUCAAAACUACUGAGAACUAAUCUGGAAUACUUAAAAAAAAAAGCCCACAAUUCAUACAGAGAUUAGAGAUUAGUGUCAAGUAUGUAUUUAUUUAUUGAUCCUUUCUCCCUCUCCCUUUGGUAACUUGUAAGAUACAGCAACAGGAAAUUUGAAGUCCAGCGUUUUAUGAAAUCUUAUGUUUAAGAUUUCUGUGAAAGGAAGCUGCUUGAGUGAGAUUUGGUUUCCAUUAUUCACUUGCAAGAAAAGAUGAGAAAAUGGGGUCAGGGGGAUUUCCUGAAGGUGCAGGGAGCAGGGAAGGUAAGCCCUUGGGCUAUUUUCUGCUUCCAGUCACCCCACCCUCUAGAGUUGCCUGGCUCCUAAUAGGGGUUUCGGAAAGGUUCCCUUCCAGUCCCCACCACUGGAGGUCAUCAGUUAUGUGACAUCCAGUUGUGCUGGGGGAAGAGAGGGAGGCUGGGGGAGGCCCACAGAAAGACAGAGAAAUGCCCCCAUGGCAUUUUCCUCUUGAAGUUCAAUGGGAAACUGAAUAAUAACAUGGAAGCCAUUUCAGAGAGGAGAUACACACACACACUCAUGUACGCUGUGUGCACACACACCCCCACUCUCAGACACUUUGCAACUGCCCAGUGUUGGCAAGAGUGUAGGGAAAGGGGCACUCUCAUACCUAUUUGAGUAAUGAUUGUAACUCAGCCUCUGAUGAUUUCUGAAGGACAGUGUAACAGUCGUAUAUCAAAUGCCUUUAAAAGUACAUCUCCUUUGCUUGUUGGAGAAAUACCUGAUUCUAGGACUGGGGAAGGAAAUACACAUCAUGAGCCUGGAGCAUUUUGUAGUGCCAGAAAGUAAGGAAGUGCUCAAAACAAACCCCCAGCAAACCCCUCACUGAUGAGGGCAUGUCAGGGGCCAUAGGAGCUGAUGAAAAGAGCUCCCAAAGGCCAGAGCUGAACAAUUUGACCAAUAAUAAACAGAAUAGUAUUUAUUGGUUUAUAAUCCAAAGUGUAAAACUAAAUAUCCAUGAGUCCAUACUGAUAGAAACUACUGAAUAAAUAAAUAAAGAAGAGACAAAUCUCAUGUUCAGAAGAAUUUACAAUAUGUGUGCAGACACUCUGCCCUGAUUGAGGGAGAAAACAACUCCUUACUCCGUAGGUGUGGUUUGCUUAUAGUGACUUCCUUCCAGAAUGUACAGUAUGGGAAGUAGGGAAAGAGUAGCUUUCCGGUGAAAAACCUUAACAAGCACAGCCUGGGCCAAGCAAUCAAGGUCAGCAUCAGCAGUGCUAAGUCCUAUUGCUGGCGACCUGGAUAUGUGAUGAGAAUAACAGGGCGUCUCUAUAGUUCUCAAGGGCCCAUAACCAUGACUUAAUCAUGACAAAAACAUCAGACAAAUCCCAGCCAAGGGACAGUCUACAAAAUACCUGGCCAGUACUCCUCGAAACUGCCAGUGUUGUCAAAGAUAAGAAAGUUGAGACACUGUCACAUCCAAGAGGAGACUAAGGAGACAUGAUGACCAAAUGAAAUGUGGUACUUGGGCAAAAUCUGGAACAGCACGAGAACAUCAGAGAAAAACCAAGGAAAUCUGAAUAAAAUACAGACUUCAUUUAGUGCUAGUGUGCCAAUAUUGGUUCAUUGUAAAAAACACACUUUACUGAUGUAAGAUGUUAAUAAUAGAAAAAACUACAUGUUGGAACCCUUGGGACUAUCUUUGUAAUUUUUCUGUAAAUCUAAGGCUGCUAUAAAAAAUAAAGUUUAUUUUAGAAACAUGCCCUGUGACCCAGGUGUUUCCCUUCCUUCUCCUUUUGGAAAUAAUUAAGGAUGAACCUGCACAUUCAUCCACAUAGAUAUGUGUCACAGAGGUGUGGGAUAACAAGUGAGAAUUAGAAAUAAUUUAAAUGUCCAGGUACAGUAAAUCCAUACAAUUCAGUCUUGGAUCACAAUCUUAUAGACAUGUAUUUCCUUUCUUUUUUAAGUUUAUUUACUUAUUUUGAGAGAGAGAGAGAGAGAGAGAGAAAGAGAGAGAGAGAGAGAGAAAAUGAAUCCCAUGCAGGCUUUGUGCUGACAGGGCAGCGCCCACACAGGGCUUGACCUUAAGAAUGGUGAGAUCAUGACCUGAGCCGAAACCAAGAGCCAGCCACUUAACUAACUGAGCCACUCAGGUGCCCCUAGACAUAUAUUUUCUUGAUAAGAAAAGGUAUUUAUGAUUGCUAGUUGAGUGGAAAAAGCAGAUUCUGAAAGAGCCUGUGAAGCAUGUAUUUUUAUGUAUGCAUGAAGGGGUAAAGAUAAAUAUCUUUCAGUGUGUUAAAGGUAAUUAUCACUGAUGCAUAAUGCUAUGGAUUUUUCUUUCUUUUCAUGGAAACAGUAUUUGUUACAGAAAGUACAGAUCAGCAAAAAGUAAAAUGUUACUUUCUCAAUUUAAAAAAAAAAAAAAGAAGGCUGGAAAUGAUUCCUUUAUAAAUCCAGCCGCAGCAACAGGAGACUCCAUCCUAAGAAGGGAGUUCUGAGGGGCGCCUGGGUGGCUCAGUCAGUUAAGCGGCCGACUUCAGUUCAGGUCGUGAUCUCAUGGUUCGUGAGUUCCAGCCCCGCGUCGGGCUCCGUGCUGACAGCUCAGAGCCUGGAGUCUGUUUCAGAUUCUGUGUCUCCCUCUCUCUGACCCUCCCCUGUUCAUGUUCUGUCUCUCCCUGUCUCAAAAAUAAAUAAAACGUUAAAACAAAAAAAAAAAAAAAGAAGGGAGUUCUGAGAGUAGAUGGGGCAUUGGCAGGCUAGUGAGUGUCUCCCUACAGACAUGCACCACCUGAACAGACCUGCUGGAACCGCCCCCGCCCGCCCCCCCCCCCACCCGGCUCCCAUAGAAACAGGCCACCACCCACUUAGCCCCUGUGGAGUGCAAGAAGGGUAGCCACCUAUAAAAACAGCAAACAGGGUGCAGGGAGAUCAAAGCUGGCACUGUGGUCAGAGGGUGGACCCGAGGCCAGGCUGGAGACCCAAGCCUCUCUCAGAGGCGCCCACACUGGUCUGUAAAGGCAGAGGCAGCUGGAGGGCUGAGAUGCAAACCCAGUGUCUGUUGCCUUCUCCUCCUGUAGUAAUCCUACCCUUACCUGGCACUGUCUCAUCCUAAAAAGAAUUUGCGUGUACCUUCCAUCGUAUUACAACAACCCUUGGAAGUAGGUAUCAUCCCAUUUUUCAGGGGAAAAAAUUAAGCCUCAGAAGACUUCAUGGCUAUCACUUACUGACUGCAUAACAGGGUGUUAAAAGAUACAGGCCUGUGUCACACCUCUUACCCAAGCCCAGUUGCAUAUCUCAGGGUUCUGGAGUCUGCAUAAUCUAGAUCCACCAUUUACCAACUGGGUUUACCCUGAGGAAGUUACGUACCUUUGCUUGGCCUCCAUUUUCUCAUCUGUCGAAUGAAGAUCAUAAUACCCAUCCAAAAGCUACUAUUAGGGUUUAGUGAGAUUGUGUGUAUAAAUUGCUUAGCACAGCGCAUGGACCAUUAAGUCGGCCGUCUGUGAAUAAUGGUUAUUAUUGAAGAGAAGGUUCGUGGGAUAAAGUAGAAUGCGAUCUGGGGAGAAGGAUCCUUUUCCCCGUCUUUCCUGUGAUUUGAGAAGGAAGAUGCAGCAAGGCUGGAGCCACCUGAGACUUUUUUAAGAGCCAUGAUGAACUGACGAGUCAGAGGGCUUUUGCUCCCACCAGGCUUUAGUUCUUGGCUCUCUGUAGUGGGUCCUAAUCAAGCAGUGCUAUUCAACAACCUGCGUUUGGACCCCGCCAGAGAAAGAGGUGAAGGAACCUGGAACAUUUAGGCCAGCCUUCAGAUUGAGCUGGAGAGGGACAGGGAGAGGGAUGUACACAGGAAGCAAGAGAGAAAACAGUAUAAAUGAGAGCCAGUUAAUUAGCUCAGCGAGCCUGUGUGUCAGAAAGGAGCUUGGCUUUUGUCCGGUUUGGACUUUUCCUAAAUUUCACUUAGAACGCGAUGCAUCCUGAUUGCCCAGAGUCCCCCAGCAAAGCCAGGACUAAAACUUUGAAGUCCUCUCGUGUUUUUCUCAGUUAACCUGGGAUAAACUGAGGACAUUUCACUUCCUGUUAUAUUCAUACCUCACUUAGUUCCAUAGGCAGCGGCUAAAAAUCGAAGUUCUAAUUCUUUACAGCACGGUGACCCCUGCUCACUGGCAGGCUAGGGCAGGUGACAAGGGGCACAGAUGUGGCUGUCCUGCUCUGUCUGGUGGAGGAGUGUUCCUGGAUCUGGGCGUGCGGUCCACCCCCGAAGCCAGACCGGCCACACGCUUACUGGAACUGGGCAGCCACAGCCUCAGGUGGCUAAUGGAGGCUGCCGGUGAGCUCCGUGACGAUGCCUGUGUGGCUUCACUCUCGGAGACUACUAAAUCUAUCUUCUCAAAUCUAACCUUCCUCCCUUGUUGAUACCUCUUAAUUUCUCUAUCCUCUCGAGUUGAAUAAUCCUUUUACGGCAACAAUGAAUUAAUAAAUAGCCAAGGACUCAGCAGAUAGGAGCGAUGCCAAAUCAAAUUAAGUUGUAUUAUAUUCUCAGGAAAAGAAGCUAUUAAACUCGCGAGGUCAGAGUGCCGCACACCUCAUUUAUUAACGUCCUCUCAUAAGCUGCCGUCUCCGGAGACACGAGUGGAGAGGCUGAGCUCCUGUCCGCGUGAACUGCCUAAAGAAUCGCCACUCUUGUCAGCAGGUGUUCAGGGGCUGUGUGUGCCGGGGGCUGUGUUGUACCCCUGGCAGAUCCCUCGAUUUCACGCAAUCCCUCCUCCACAGUGUGCCUGGCUGACCGAGGGGGCACGGCCUUCUGCUGGCUGGGGCUCCCUAGUCCCAUCCCAGCCCCAACCCGCCGUGACCCUGGCUCCCCGGCCAGGGGUGUGUCAGAUGGCAUGCCACUCUCCCAGUCCGGAUUUAGGGGCUCUCGGUUCCUUAGCGAAACUUUGUCUCCUACCUGCUAAAAUUAUUUAGAAAAAAUUAGGUGCCAGGGCGCCUGGUUGGCUCAGUCGGUGAAGCGCCCGACCCUUGAUUUUGGCUCAGGUCAUGCCCCCAGGGUGGUGAGCUCAAGCCCGGUGUUGGGCUCUGAGCUGAGUGUGGAGUCUGCUGAGGAUUCACUCGCUCUCUCUGCCCCUCCCCCACUCGUUCUUUUUCUCUUUCUCUCUCUGCCCCCUCCCCCACUCGUGCUGUCUCCCUCUCUCUUUCUCUCUCUCUCUC